rnacentral:hammerhead_ribozyme from 1 species
UGACGAAACGGCGGGAGUCCGCCGUAGUCCGGAUUGGCAUUCCGGGCCUGAAGAGUCAGCCAUAG